GAUGAACGCUGCCAGAAUGCUUAACACAUGCAAGUCUACUUGAAUUUGGGUUUUUUAACUUAGAUUUGGGUGGCGGACGGGUGAGUAACGCGUAAAGAACUUGCCUCACAGCUAGGGACAACAUUUGGAAACGAAUGCUAAUACCUGAUAUUAUGAUUAUAAGGCAUCUUAGAAUUAUGAAAGCUAUAUGCGCUGUGAGAGAGCUUUGCGUCCCAUUAGCUAGUUGGAGAGGUAACGGCUCACCAAGGCGAUGAUGGGUAGCCGGCCUGAGAGGGUGAACGGCCACAGGGGACUGAGACACGGCCCUUACUCCUACGGGAGGCAGCAGUGGGGAAUAUUGGACAAUGGACCAAGAGUCUGAUCCAGCAAUUCUGUGUGCACGAUGACGUUUUUCGGAAUGUAAAGUGCUUUCAGUUGGGAAGAAAAAAAUGACGGUACCAACAGAAGAAGUGACGGCUAAAUACGUG
rnacentral:rRNA from 1 species